CGGUAGAGACCACAUAGAUCAACUGUUUAUUACAUAGCAGGAGAAGGAGGACCAGAAAAUGAAUUGGGGAUGUGUCGCAAGAACAGGAUUUAUAUAGAGGUCUUUCAAUCUAGAACAGUAUUUAUAUAGAGGUCUUUCAAUCCCACAGGAUUUAUAUAGAGGUCUUUCAAUCCCACAGGAUUUAUAUAGAGGUCUUUCAAUCCCACAGGAUUUAUAUAGAGGUCUUUCAAUCCAGAACAGGAUUUAUAUAGAGGUCUUUCAAUCUAGAACAGGAUUUAUGUAGAGGUCUUUCAAUCCCACAGGAUUUAUAUAGAGGUCUUUCAAUCCCACAGGAUUUAUGUAGAGGUCUUUCAAUCCCACAGGAUUUAUAUAGAGGUCUUUCAAUCCCACAGGAUUUAUGUAGAGGUCUUUCAAUCCCACAGGAUUUAUAUAGAGGUCUUUCAAACCCACAGGAUUUAUAUAGAGGUCUUUCAAUCCCACAGGAUUUAUAUAGAGGUCUUUCAAUCCCACAGGAUUUAUAUAGAGGUCUUUCAAUCCCACAGGAUUUAUAUAGAGGUCUUUCAAUCCAGAACAGGAUUUAUAUAGAGGUCUUUCAAUCCUACAGGAUUUAUAUAGAGGUCUUUCAAUCUAGAACAGGAUUUAUAUAGAGGUCUUUCAAUCCUACAGGAUUUAUAUAGAGGUCUUUCAAUCCAGAACAGGAUUUAUAUAGAGGUCUUUCAAUCUAGAACAGGAUUUAUAUAGAGGUCUUUCAAUCCCACAGGAUUUAUAUAGAGGUCUUUCAAUCCAGAACAGGAUUUAUAUAGAGGUCUUUCAAUCCCACAGGAUUUAUAUAGAGGUCUUUCAAUCUAGAACAGGAUUUAUAUAGAGGUCUUUCAAUCCCACAGGAUUUAUAUAGAGGUCUUUCAAUCUAGAACAGGAUUUAUAUAGAGGUCUUUCAAUCCCACAGGAUUUAUAUAGAGGUCUUUCAAUCUAGAACAGGAUUUAUAUAGAGGUCUUUCAAUCCCACAGGAUUUAUAUAGAGGUCUUUCAAUCCCACAGGAUUUAUAUAGAGGUCUUUCAAUCUAGAACAGGAUUUAUGUAGAGGUCUUUCAAUCCCACGUGGAAAAUGUAAUGUGGACAGCACAUCAGGGUCAGACUAACAUGUAUGCUUUUG